GGAAGGAUGGCCGAGCGGUCUAUGGCGCUGCACUUGAAAUGCAGAGGGUGAAAGCCCGCGGGGGUUCAAAUCCCCCUCCUUCCG
rnacentral:tRNA from 1 species